ACUCCAGUCACGCUAAUACUAUGUAAAAUAAACCAAUACUUUUUGCAAUAUUUAAACCUUGCAGUGAAAGAAUUGCUUUGAGGAAGUCCAUUCCCUCCACAAAUGUGCACUCAUACACAAAUUUCUGCUGCAGAGAAGGAAGAAUGCAUCCCGUGGCAUUAUUUUUAUAAAGCAGAGGGCUAAGGCAAAACUGGAGUGAGACAUCACACCUGAAGGCAUCUAUUUGAUGGAUACAUUGGUCUUCUGAUCUAAUGGCUGCUGAUCAUUUG